GAUGAAGAACGUAGCGAAAUGCGAAAAGUAGUGUGAAUUGCAGAAUUCAGUGAAUCAUCGAAUCUUUGAACGCACAUUGCGCCCGCCAGUAUUCUGGCGGGCAUGCCUGUUCGAGCGUCAUUUCAACCCUCAAGACCCCUUCGGGGGACUUGGUGUUGGGGACCGGCACAGGGGCCUGCCUGCUUGUCUUGCAGCGCCCUCGCCGCCCCCGAAAUGAAUUGGCGGCCUCGUCGCGGCCUCCCCUGCGUAGUAGCACAACCUCGCAACGGGAACGUGACGGCGGCCACUGCCGUAAAACAACCCCAAUUUUAUUAGAGUUGACCUCGAAUCAGGUAGGAAUACCCGCUGAACUUAAGCAUAUCAAUAAGCGGAGGA
rnacentral:misc_RNA from 1 species